CGCCUAACACAUGCAAGUCGAACGAAGUAGCAAUACUUAGUGGCAGACGGGUGAGUAACAUGUGGGUAUCUACCCUUUGGCCUGGAAUAACACGAGGAAACUUGUGCUAAUACCGGAUAAGUCUUUACGGAGAAAGCUUUAUGCACCAUUGGAUGAGCCUGCACUUGAUUAGUUUGUUGGUGGGGUAAUGGCCUACCAAGACUGUGAUCAAUAGCUGAUUUGAGAGGAUGAUCAGCCACAUUGGGACUGAGACACGGCCCAAACUCCUACGGGAGGCAGCAGUGGGGAAUCUUGCACAAUGGAGGAAACUCUGAUGCAGCGAUGCCGCGUGAGUGAAGAAGGCCUUUGGGUUGUAAAGCUCUUUCGUCGGGGAAGAAAAUGACUGUACCCGAAUAAGAAGGUCCGGCUAACUUCGUGCCAGCAGCCGCGGUAAUACGAAGGGACCUAGCGUAGUUCGGAAUUACUGGGCUUAAAGAGUUCGUAGGUGGUUGAAAAAGUUGGUGGUGAAAUCCCAGAGCUUAACUCUGGAACUGCCAUCAAAACUUUUCAGCUAGAGUAUGAUAGAGGAAAGCAGAAUUUCUAGUGUAGAGGUGAAAUUCGUAGAUAUUAGAAAGAAUACCAAUUGCGAAGGCAGCUUUCUGGAUCAUUACUGACACUGAGGAACGAAAGCAUGGGUAGCGAAGAGGAUUAGAUACCCUCGUAGUCCAUGCCGUAAACGAUGUGUGUUAGACGUUGGAAAUUUAUUUUCAGUGUCGCAGCGAAAGCGAUAAACACACCGCCUGGGGAGUACGAC
rnacentral:rRNA from 1 species